rnacentral:rRNA from 1 species
GGGUUGUGAGGUUAAGCGAAUAAGCGUACACGGUGGAUGCCUAGGCAGUCAGAGGCGAUGAAGGACGUGCUAAUCUGCGAUAAGCGCCGGUAAGGUGAUAUGAACCGUUAUAACCGGCGAUUUCCGAAUGGGGAAACCCAGUGUGAUUCGUCACACUAUCAUUACCUGAAUACAUAGGGUAAUGAAGCGAACCGGGAGAACUGAAACAUCUAAGUACCCCGAGGAAAAGAAAUCAAACGAGAUUCCCCCAGUAGCGGCGAGCGAACGGGGAGCAGCCCAGGACCU